CCUACGGGUGGCAGCAGUCGAGAAUCAUUCACAAUGGGGGAAACCCUGAUGGUGCGACGCCGCGUGGGGGAAUGAAGGUCUUCGGAUUGUAAACCCCUGUCAUGUGGGAGCAAAUUAAAAAGAUAGUACCACAAGAGGAAGAGACGGCUAACUCUGUGCCAGCAGCCGCGGGAAUACAGAGGUCUCAAGCGUUGUUCGGAAUCACUGGUCGUAAAGCGUGCGUAGGCUGUUUCGUAAGUCGUGUGUGAAAGGCGCGGGCUCAACCCGCGGACGGCACAUGAUACUGCGAGACUAGAGUAAUGGAGGGGGAACCGGAAUUCUCGGUGUAGCAGUGAAAUGCGUAGAUAUCGAGAGGAACACUCGUGGCGAAGGCGGGUUCCUGGACAUUAACUGACGCUGAGGCACGAAGGCCAGGGGAGCGAAAGGGAUUAGAUACCCGAGUAGUC
rnacentral:rRNA from 1 species